CUCCGGUUGAUAAAAUGGCACUACUCAUAGCCGAAUUGCUUCCCAUCUGAAAUCCCAUAUCAGCCUGUCCACUAGCACCACUAGUUGCUCCCAAGUGUCCCUGAAUCCCUCCAAAGUUUAACCCAAGAUUCCCAACACCAAAUUGAGUAAGGUUAUGCAAAGAGGUCAUGAAAGGUAAUGGACUUGGUUGUGGAGGCAAAUGACCGAUAAUCUCGGAGGGAGCUGCACUUGUUGAGCCUGAAUAAGAACCCAUUCGCCGUUCAUUGGAAACUGGGGAUUUUGAGCUACUUUGGCUUUUGUUU
rnacentral:misc_RNA from 1 species